AUCAUUUGUCUGGGUUGCUCCGGUUAAAAAGCAGCCUGGCUCCUGUGGUGCUAUCAUUCAAAGCUAGGAUCAUUUGCUGUUGAUGGGAAUCAAAAGGAUUGUCAAACCGGAACAAUUCAGUGCUUUCUGUCUGUCAAUGAACCUGCAGUUCCUGAAACCCACCAUUUAGAAAGAGCAACAGACUGCUCUGGUGAUUAGAGAGAUUGCUCGUCAGCGUUAGGAUCUGGGGCUAAGCUGCGAUGUUGGCAAGAGGCAGUCCUCACCAGAUAAACGUCAGCAUUGGUCGUUUGUUCGAAUGGCAAAAGAGACCUACAGUAUGUUUGCUUUUACCUGACGACAAUGACCUUUUUUAGCCGGGUGAAUUAUGCUUUUUCUGUCAGAAGCAAAGGCGACAAGCUUUAAACACAAUACUGAACAUUAUCGCCUUGUAAAGUUUGUCCUCACCAACUCCUGAGGGAAAUAUCUGUCUCUUUAGCUGUUAAAUGCUCAACUAUGUUCACCAGCUAGUCACAAACUGUCUGUCAGCUGUUUGGUGUUGAGCAGAUAGCCUACAUUAAGGUUUUAAAGAU